rnacentral:rRNA from 1 species
AGUGAACGCUGGCGGUAGACCUAACACAUGCAAGUCGAACGGCAGCACAGUAAGAGCUUGCUCUUACGGGUGGCGAGUGGCGGACGGGUGAGGAAUACAUCGGAAUCUACUUUUUCGUGGGGGAUAACGUAGGGAAACUUACGCUAAUACCGCAUACGACCUACGGGUGAAAGCAGGGGAUCUUCGGACCUUGCGCGAUUGAAUGAGCCGAUGUCGGAUUAGCUAGUUGGCGGGGUAAAGGCCCACCAAGGCGACGAUCCGUAGCUGGUCUGAGAGGAUGAUCAGCCACACUGGAACUGCGACACGGUCCAGACUCCUACGGGAGGCAGCAGUGGGGAAUAUUGGACAAUGGGCGCAAGCCUGAUCCAGCCAUACCGCGUGGGUGAAGAAGGCCUUCGGGUUGUAAAGCCCUUUUGUUGGGAAAGAAAAGCAGCAGGUUAAUACCCCGCUGUUCUGACGGUACCCAAAGAAUAAGCACCGGCUAACUUCGUG